AAACGAUGACAGAGUUGGCAAUCGACAGUUCGUUGAGAAAUUCCCACAGUCUUUAGUUCUAAUCACAAACACUCAAAUAAUGUUGAUCCUGAUGGUGAAAUGUCACUUCUCCUCGAUGGUGCUCUUCUCCUCGCAGUACUUUGAUACACCAUCGGGUUGUCGGAUGUCUUCUCUGGAGGUUGGCAGGGACAACCGAUUUUCUCCAUUAUUUCUUUUUGGCUGCUCCUCACGUUUGAUCUCUCUCAUGUGUGACCUUUCUCCUGUUCGACCCUUUCGAGUUCACCCUCUUAUUUCCGUUUUUGACCCAUAUUUAUAAUCUUCCGGCAUCCGCUGUUGCGGAUAAAAGAUUUCCUGCAGUUGGAGGGGCGUAUUUAACCCAAUAAUUAACGAAUGUCCCCUGC
rnacentral:lncRNA from 1 species